UGUUGAAGGACACGGUGAACCAGAUCUAGGAGUUUGUUUUCUGCCUCUUUUGGUUGUUCCUGUGUUGUGCAGAGACCUUGCUUGUUGGAGUGCUGGUGUCUGUUCCUGGCAGCAAUGACAAGGCCGAGUGCAGGAACAAGGAGGUGCUCUGGUACAAACCACUUGUCUGAAGGAAACAAUGUCUUUUAGGACUGUCCUGGUACCUGAGGCACCUGCUGUUCAAAUCUGCAGCAGACUUGCUGAUAAUGCUCAUUAUUCUGUGGUAAAUGAUACUCAGAUGUUCUGCAGCAGCAGGAAAUUCAAUGGAUGGGUACCAUUAAAGGCCUAAUUCCAUUUUCUAACUCCACAGUGCAAGUGAAUGCAUCCAACAGCCAGGGCAGCUUGAUAAGUGAUGCUGUAACAAUUGUCAGGCCUCCAGGAGGCUGUUCAGCACAUCUUUCAGUGAGCUCACCCUGUGUCUGUUCUUGGUUUUGGGGGGGUGUUGUGG